CUCGUCGUCGUAGCGCACAAUGUUCUCGUGGAUGUUCUCGUCGUCGUCGAUGAUGUAGGGCUGCUUCCGGUGCCGCCUCAUGGACAGGAUGAGCAGCACCAGCACUGCCGGGGGACACAAAGAGGGGCGCAUGGAAGCUGUGGACAUUGUGGGACGGGGUUUAUCAGACUCCGGAUCUAACUGAGGAGCUUUGGAGAGUUGGUAGUUUCUGGCGUUUUCUUCAAGAGUUUGGCUCCUGGUGCAUGAUAUUCUCACAGCUUGACUGGUGAAUGUUUUAAAGAGAAAAAAAUGAAAGAACUAUGGGGUGUCAGAGGGUCCUGCCUGUCCUCAGUGUCAUCCUCCCACUCAAUCCGCAUCCCAUCAUUAAGUCUCAGAAACGCCAUAUUUCAGAAGUCUGCCUCAGAGUAAGCCCCUGGAAUGCCUGACUGUUGGAUGUAAAAAUGGAUGGAAUGGAGUAGUCAUAAAGUCACAGGUCAGGGAGCAGUGAAGAUAGUCACAUACAGUUCAGCCUCAUGUCAGUGCUGCUCACAACCCAGGGCACCAUCUGCCCUAUUCCCAUGGAGAAGCAAAUCCUUUUUAGUUUGAUUGCCAAAUGUAAAGGGAUAAAAUGUUUCUUAGGAGAUUUAAAAAAAUAACUUCUUUAUUGACUUUUUGGGAGUUUCACAGCAUGCACCCCAAUUCUCUUCACCUCCUGGUCCCCCUAUCAUCCCCUCAUCCCUGCCACAUCUCCCCACAUAAGAGAACAAAUCAAAGUAAGCAAGCAAGUGAACAAAAACAAACAAAACCAAUAGGGGAUGUUUUGGAUAGAUAAUAUGAUGGGGGAAUUUUUAAGGCAGAUCUUAAACUUCGUGUGUAUAUGUUGAGAUGGGACUUUGAAGGGUAGGUAGACAGUGUGCUAGGAGUCCCAGUGGGAGCCUCAUGACUGACUUUAUUGACCUCCAUUCCCCUGAGAGUCUUCAGCCCCACUGGCAUAAAAUCUUGCUCAACACUCUUCGUUCUUUCCCUUCUAAUCAUCAGGCGUGCAAUUCACUUUUGUAUGGCUUUCAUCCACUGUAGGAGGAGAGCACUAUGCCCUGCCUUGUGUCUGCUUUCUGACUUUGCUUCAUGUGUGACAUAAUCUACGAAACUUCAGGCAUGUUAAUGUGGUUCUUUACAGCUAUUACCAUGGAUGCUGCCUUGUUCAAUCAAGCUUUUAUUGUAAUUGUUAUUAGGUCGAUAAUAUUUCAGACCAUAUUACACUAGAGAUUUAAUAAAUAUGGAAGUUCUUAAAACUAGAAAAUACCUUUUAGGAGUGAUACGGACUUGUACCAAAUUUUAAGAAUCGGUGUUGAGGUCAGUUUGGAUUUAAGUCACUGAAGGGAUUCUUGAUUUACAGAAACAAAGUUACUUUCUUUGGAUAGAAGACAAAGAUGUAUUGUGUUAAGGAUGUUGAAAGAGCUCCAGUAAGUGUUAGUCUUAGAGACACAGCUUUGUGCAGAGGCUGCUGGGGUGAUGUUCUACUGAGUGGUAGAAGAGAGGGCAAAACUUUGUUGCUGCCAGAGGCUGAGUUACCAUUUGGUCAGAUGGGCACUUCCCACCCCCCCUGAUUUCCUUAUCAAAAUGAUCUUGAUCCAUCUUCUCUAUCUGAGUUCAUAGGACCACAGCAUAUGUAUGUUCUAAGAUGGACAUCAGGGCUAUUAAUGGAGGAAGGAAGCAUACAAAGGCAGGAGCAGAAUGGAGGAUGUGGGAGGACAGGUCGAGGGGAUGAAGUACCUGACAAAUACAUUCUUAUGUGGCCACUGAAAAUGGAUUUCUGGAUGUUUCUCAAUCAGACAAUUUGGAAUUUGAUAAAAUACAAGGCUAGAUUUAGAUGCCUUAAAAAUGUUUCUGAAAUAUGUCUUAGAACUGUGGUUAUUUCCAUAACUGUACUAUUCUGUGAGCCAAGAACUUGUUAAAGCACUAUUCAGACCACACUUUGGGCUCCAAGUGGUUGUCUUAACAAAUAAAUAAUUGGCACCUGGCAUAAAGAAGUUGGGUACUCUUUUUUCUAAUUCAUAAUUUCUGGUGUGGACAUAUUGUUGAUAAUGAAUUCAGUUUUUGUACUGGUUAGUUUUAUGCCAACUUGAUAUAAGAUUGAGCCAUUUGGGAAGAGGAACCCUCAG